GAUGAAGAACGUAGCGAAAUGCGAUAAGUAAUGUGAAUUGCAGAAUCCAGUGAAUCAUCGAAUCUUUGAACGCACAUUGCGCCCGCCAGCAUUCUGGCGGGCAUGCCUGUUCGAGCGUCAUUUCAACCCUCGACCUCCCUUUGGGGAAGUCGGCGUUGGGGACCGGCAGCACACCGCCGGCCCUGAAAUGGAGUGGCGGCCCGUCCGCGGCGACCUCUGCGUAGUAAUCCAACUCGCACCGGAACCCCGACGCGGCCACGCCGUAAAACACCCAACUUCUGAACGUUGACCUCGAAUCAGGUAGGACUACCCGCUGAACUUAAGCAUAUCAAUCAGCGGAGGA
rnacentral:misc_RNA from 1 species